GGUUCUGUAGUGUAAUGGUUAGCACCCAAGAUUCUGAUUCUUGUAAUCCCGGUUCGACUCCGGGCAGGACCU
rnacentral:tRNA from 1 species